UGUGGAUAGGUUAAAUUAAUGCAACGUAAGUGAAUCCUUUACUUUAUAAAAUAAGGCAUAAAUUUGCAGAUAUAAUUUUUUUUUUCUAUUUUCGCCUUGUGACCGAACUUCCGUGCGUUGCUUUUGCCUUUGCCUCAACUAGUAGUGUGCGUAAAGUCAAUGAGGGAACUUGUUAAUGAACCAGUUUAAGAACAACCGAUUACAAACCCUUCGGUCCUUUACAGAUUUCCGUUUCUCCAAAUUUACCCAAUUUGCCCGUAUACAAUCUCAUACCCAUACUA